rnacentral:rRNA from 1 species
AUUGAACGCUGGCGGCAUGCUUUACACAUGCAAGUCGAACGGCAGCACGGGGGCAACCCUGGUGGCGAGUGGCGAACGGGUGAGUAAUACAUAGGAACGUAUCCUGAAAUGGGGGAUAGCUCGGCGAAAGCCGGAUUAAUACCGCAUACGACCUGCGGGUGAAAGCGGGGAUCGCAAGACCUCGCGCUAUCGGAGCGGCCGAUGUCAGAUUAGGUUGUUGGUGGGGUAAAGGCCUACCAAGCCGACGAUCUGUAGCUGGUCUGAGAGGACGACCAGCCACACUGGGACUGAGACACGGCCCAGACUCCUACGGGAGGCAGCAGUGGGGAAUUUUGGACAAUGGGCGCAAGCCUGAUCCAGCCAUGCCGCGUGCGGGAAGAAGGCC